rnacentral:rRNA from 1 species
AAUAUUGGACAAUGGGCGAAAGCCUCAUCCAGCCAUGCCGCGUGUGUGAAGAAGGUCUUCGGAUUGUAAAGCACUUUCAGUUGGGAGGCAGGGCAGUAAGUUAACAUCUGGCUGUUUUGACGUUACCGACAGAAUAAGCACCGCCUAUCUUCCUGCUAGCAGCCGCGGUAAUAAGUAGGGUGCAAGCGUUAAUCGGAAUUACUGGGCGUAAAAAGGGAGAAGGUGGUUUGUUGAGUUAGAAGUGAAAGCCCCGGGCUCAACCUGGGAACUGCUUUCAAAACUGGCAUGCUAGAGUAUAGCAGAGGGUGGUGGAAUUUCCCGUGUAGCGGUGAAAUGCGUAGGUAUAGGAAGGAACACCAGUAGCGAAGGCGACCACCUGAGCUAAUACUGACACUGAGGUGCGAAAGCGUGGGGAGCAAAC